rnacentral:rRNA from 1 species
GGAAACUGCCUGAUGGAGGGGGAUAACUACUGGAAACGGUGGCUAAUACCGCAUAACGUCGCAAGACCAAAGAGGGGGACCUUCGGGCCUCUUGCCAUCAGAUGUGCCCAGAUGGGAUUAGCUUGUUGGUGAGGUAACGGCUCACCAAGGCGACGAUCCCUAGCUGGUCUGAGAGGAUGACCAGCCACACUGGAACUGAGACACGGUCCAGACUCCUACGGGAGGCAGCAGUGGGGAAUAUUGCACAAUGGGCGCAAGCCUGAUGCAGCCAUGCCGCGUGUAUGAAGAAGGCCUUCGGGUUGUAAAGUACUUUCAGCGGGGAGGAAGGUGUUGUGGUUAAUAACCGCAGCAAUUGACGUUACCCGCAGAAGAAGCACCGGCUAACUCCGUGCCAGCAGCCGCGGUAAUACGGAGGGUGCAAGCGUUAAUCGGAAUUACUGGGCGUAAAGCGCACGCAGGCGGUCUGUCAAGUCGGAUGUGAAAUCCCCGGGCUCAACCUGGGAACUGCAUUCGAAACUGGCAGGCUUGAGUCUUGUAGAGGGGGGUAGAAUUCCAGGUGUAGCGGUGAAAUGCGUAGAGAUCUGGAGGAAUACCGGUGGCGAAGGCGGCCCCCUGGACAAAGACUGACGCUCAGGUGCGAAAGCGUGGGGAGCAAACAGGAUUAGAUACCCUGGUAGUCCACGCCGUAAACGAUGUCUACUUGGAGGUUGUGCCCUUGAGGCGUGGCUUCCGGAGCUAACGCGUUAAGUAGACCGCCUGGGGAGUACGGCCGCAAGGUUAAAACUCAAAUGAAUUGACGGGGGCCCGCACAAGCGGUGGAGCAUGUGGUUUAAUUCGAUGCAACGCGAAGAACCUUACCUGGUCUUGACAUCCACAGAACUUUCCAGAGAUGGAUUGGUGCCUUCGGGAACUGUGAGACAGGUGCUGCAUGGCUGUCGUCAGCUCGUGUUGUGAAAUGUUGGGUUAAGUCCCGCAACGAGCGCAACCCUUAUCCUUUGUUGCC